rnacentral:rRNA from 1 species
CAGUCGACGAUUACGCCGCGUGCGGGAUGAAGGCCCUAGGGUUGUAAACCGCUUUCAGCAGGGAAGAAAAUGACGGUACCUGUAGAAGAAGGUGCGGCCAACUACGUGCCAGCAGCCGCGGUGACACGUAGGCACCAAGCGUUGUCCGGAUUUAUUGGGCGUAAAGAGCUCGUAGGCGGUUCAGUAAGUCGGGUGUGAAAACUCUGGGCUCAACCCAGAGACGCCACCCGAUACUGCUGUGACUAGAGUGCGGUAGGGGAGCGGGGAAUUCCUAGUGUAGCGGUGAAAUGCGCAGAUAUUAGGAGGAACACCAGUGGCGAAGGCGCCGCUCUGGGCCGUAACUGACGCUGAGGAGCGAAAGCGUGGGUAGCAAACAGGAUUAGAUACCCUGGUAGUCCACGCCGUAAACGUUGGGCACUAGGUGUGGGUCUCAACCAACGAGAUCCGCGCCGUCGCUAACGCAUUAAGUGCCCCGCCUGGGGAGUACGG